rnacentral:rRNA from 1 species
UACGGGGGGGGCAAGCGUUGUUCGGAAUUACUGGGCGUAAAGCGCGCGUAGGCGGCCCGGUAAGUCCGUUGUGAAAGUCAAAGGCUCAACCUUUGAACGCCGAUGGAUACUGCCGGGCUAGAGUCCGGAAGAGGCGAGUGGAAUUCCUGGUGUAGCGGUGGAAUGCGCAGAUAUCAGGAGGAACACCAAUAGCGAAGGCAGCUCGCUGGGACGGUACUGACGCUGAGGCGCGAAAGCGUGGGGAGCGAACAGG